UGCAGCUCAGUGGUAGAGCAUUUGCCUAGCAUGUGAAAGGCCCUGGGUUCAAUCCCCAGUACUGAAA
rnacentral:tRNA from 1 species